GAAAAUGGCGUCAUACGACACUGGCUAUGAAGAUGAACGAUUUCAACAUCCCGUUGGCCAUACGUUGCAUUGUGGUAUAUGUCUGAAUGUUUUAAAAGAUCCAGUCACGUGUCGACAUAAUGAGCAUCUGUCUUGUCGAGCUUGUAUCACCAUACAUCUCAUGAACUUUCAAACAUGUCCAUCGUGUAUGGAACCACUCACUGUCGAAUCACUGCGUCAAGCACCUCGGAGCAUAACAAACUUACUUUCCGAAUUAAAGAUCCGCUGUCAAUUCUUCGAUCGUGGUUGCGGACAGUUUGUUGAAUUAGGAAAUCUCGAAAGGCAUGU